rnacentral:rRNA from 1 species
GACGAACGCUGGCGGCGCGCUUAACACAUGCAAGUCGUACGGGGUUCUCUCCUUCGGGAGGGGAUCCAGUGGCGAACGGGUGCGUAACACGUGAGCAACCUGCCCAUGCAUGGGGGAGUAACCAAGGGAAACCUUGGCUAAUACCGCAUACGUUCUCCGGGUCGAUUGACCUGGGGAGGAAAGCUCCUGCAAGGGAGCGUGCGUGGAGGGGCUCGCGGCGUAUCAGCUAGCNGGUGGGGUAACGGCUCACCAGGGCGACGACGCGUAGCCGAUCUGAGAGGAUGAUCGGCCACAUUGGGACUGAGAUACGGCCCAGACUCCUACGGGAGGCAGCAGUGGGGAAUCUUGCGCAAUGGGCGAAAGCCUGACGCAGCGACGCCGCGUGCGGGAGGAAGC